CUUCCGCUAGCUUGACGUCUUUUUUUGUGGUUCAUGUUUUGUUAGCUAAUCUGGCUAGCAGAUGUCGACUGGUCAAACUUAUUUUCAGAUGAAUAUAUGCGCAUAAAACGGUUCAAACGCCACUCCUAGUAAGAGGAGAGGAUGGCGCAUCGACGUACCCCACCUCAGCUGUCCCAGAGGACAGAGUACCUGGAGCAUGAUAAUGAUUCCGACAGGGACUCUGGUGUUGGGGAGGAUGCAGGGGAGGAUGCUGACAGUUGCCAUGGAGGCACUGUAACAGAAGAGGAGACAGUCAACAAGCAAGAUGGCAGGGGAGAAAACAGCGGGGAGGGGGAAGAUUUUACGGUUUUUGUUGCAUUUCAAGGGAAUAUGGAAGAUGAGGACUUCACUCACAAACUUGACACUAUCCUCAGUGGGAUACCAAACAUGCUUGAUAUGGGCUCUGAGAGGCUACAGCCACAACAUGUGGAGCCGUGGAACAGUGUGCGGGUUACCUUCAACAUUCCUCGGGAUGCUGCGGAGCGACUCAGACUGUUGGCCCAGAACAACCAGCAGCAGCUCAGAGACCUGGGGAUCCUCUCUGUGCAGAUCGAAGGGGAAGGGGCCAUCAAUGUGGCUGUGGGACCAAAUAGAGGACAAGAAGUCCGAGUGAAUGGACCAAUUGGAGCACCUGGCCAGAUGAGAAUGGAGGUUGGCUUUCCAGGUCAGCCUGGUCCAGGAGGAGUAAGGAUGCCUAAUCCAGCAAUGGUUCCCCCGGGGCCUGGCAUGGCAGGUCAGGCUAUGGUACCAGGCAGCAGUGGACAGAUGCACCCUCGUGUUCCAAGACCAUCUUCACAGACAGGUUCAGAUGUGAUGGAUCCAAUGAUGCCAGGUAUGUCAGUUCAGCAGCAACAGCAACUUCAGCACCAACAGGCUGGUCCCCAUGCCUCAGGCCCAAUGCCUCCUCAGGCUGCCCAUCACAUGCAGGCUCUGCAGGGUGGGAGACCACUCAACCCUGCUGCUCUGCAGCAGCUACAACAACAACAUCACCAACAGCAACAAGCUCAGCAGCAAGCUCAGCUCUCCCAGCUCGGACCUAGACCUCCAUUCAACCCAGCGGGCCAGAUGGCUGUGCCUCCUGGCUGGAACCAGUUGCCCUCUGGGGUCCUCCAGCCACCAGCGGCACAAGGAGGCCCUGCCUGGAGAAAGCCCCCACCCCAAGCCCAAAUGGUUCAACGUCCACCCUCCCUUGCAACAGUUCAGACUCCCAGCCACCCUCCGCCCCCUUACCCAUUUGGCAGCCAGCAGGCUGGGCAGGUAUUCAGUGCCAUGGGUCAGGGACAAUUACAGCAACAGCAGCAGACAGGAGUGGGUCAGUUUGCUGCCCCCCAGCCUAAAGGCCCUCAGGCUGGCCCUGGUGGUGUCGCAGGACCGCCCAGACCCCCUCCGCCCCUUCCACCAACUUCUGGUCCGCAGGGCAACCUCACUGCCAAGUCCCCUGGUUCGUCUUCGUCUCCUUUUCAGCAGGGUUCACCAGGGACUCCUCCCAUGAUGGCUCAGAGACCUACAACACCACAGGGUUUCCCCCAGGGCGUUGGAUCACCAGGAAGAGCAGCCCUCGGCCAACAGGGUAACAUGCAACAAGGAUUCAUGGGAAUGCCCCAGCAUGGACAGCCUGGGGCCCAAGUUCACCCUGGCAUGCCAAAGCGUCCCAUGGGCUUUCCGAACCCAAACUUUGUCCAAGGUCAGGUGAGUGCCAGCGCUCCAGGAACCCCUGGUGGAGGAGCCGGUCAGCAGCUACAGAGCAGCCAAGCGAUGACUCACACAGGAGCUCCACCAUCAGUCUCCACACCUAACUCAAUGCAGGGUCCACCCCAUGCCCAAUCCAAUGUUAUGGGUGUACAAAGUAGCAUGGCUGGUCUGCCACCUGGUACAACUGCUGGGCCUAGUAUGGGCCAGCAACAACCUGGCCUCCAGACCCAGAUGAUGGGCCUCCAGCAUCAGGCCCAGCCCGUGUCCUCCUCCCCCAGCCAGAAGGUUCAAGGCCAAGGUGGAGGUCAGACUGUCCUCUCAAGGCCCCUCAGUCAAGGGCAGAGAGGAGGGAUGACCCCACCCAAGCAAAUGAUGCCUCAGCAAGGCCAGGGGGUGAUGCAUGGGCAGGGUCAGAUGGUUGGAGGCCAAGGGCAUCAGGCCAUGCUCCUGCAACAACAACAGCAGCAGCAGCAACAGCAACAACAGAACUCCAUGAUGGAGCAAAUGGUUGCCAACCAGAUGCAAGGCAACAAGCAGGCAUUUGGAGGCAAGAUUCCAGCUGGGGUCAUGCCUGGCCAGAUGAUGCGUGGCCCUGCUCCAAAUGUUCAAGGUAACAUGGCUCAAUUCCAGGGCCAAGUUGGCCCUCAGCAGCUGACUCCACAACAGCAGCAGCAAAUGGCUCAACUUCAACAACAGCAGUUACAACAGCAGCAACAGCACCAGCUGCAACAGCAGCAGUUGCAGCAGCAGCAACAACAGCAACACCAGCAGAUGAACCAGCAACAGCCCCAGCAGGUUCCUAUCGCUGGCAAUCCUAAUCAAGCCAUGGGCAUGCAUGGGCAACAAAUGAGGCUCCCCGCUGGUCAUCCUCUUAUCCAACAACAGUUGCAACAGCAGCAGUUACAGCAGCAGAAACAACAGCAACAGGCCAUGUUGCAGCAGCAGCAGCAGCAACAACAACAACAACAACAACAACAGGCAGCUCAACAACAACAGGCAGCUCAACAACACCCACAUCCUUUGGGAGAUCCUAAUAGUGGCACAGGGGACUUGGGGGUCCAACAGAUGGUCCCUGAUAUGCAGGCACAGCAGCAAGGCAUGAUGGGAGGCCCUCAGCACAUGCAGAUGGGAAAUGGCCACUUUGCAGGUCAUGGCAUGAACUUUAACUCACAGUUCCCAGGUCAGAUGCAGAUGGGGGGACCCUGUGUACAGCCAGGGGGCUUUCCCGUCAGCAAGGAUGUAACACUGACUAGCCCACUGCUGGUCAACCUGCUGCAGAGUGAUAUCUCAGCCAGCCAGUUUGGGCCUGGAGGAAAACAGGGAGCAGGCGGGGCCAAUCAAGCCAAACCCAAAAAGAAGAAACCUGCACGGAAGAAGAAGCCCAAAGAGGGAGAUGGACAACAGCAAGUAGAGGGACUUGGUGGUCUUGAUGUGGCUGCUGGCAUGGAGGAUUCUGAACUGCCAAAUCUGGGUGGUGAACAGAGUUUGGCCUUAGACAACUCAAGCCAGAAACUCCCAGAUUUUGCCAACAGACCUGCAGGCUUUCCUGGCCAACCUGGAGACCAGAGAGUGUUGCAGCAGGUACCCAUGCAGUUUAUGCAGCAACAACAACAACAACAGCAGCAGCAGCAGCAGCAGCAGCAGCAACAACAACAACAGCAGCAGCAACAACAACAGCAACAACAAAUGCAGCACAUGCAACAGCAGCAGAUACAACAACAACAACAACAAAUGCAGCAGCAGCAGAUACAACAACAAAUGCAACAGCAACAAAUGCAACAGCAACAGCAGCAACAAUUACAGCAACAACAACAACAGCAGCAGCAGCAACAGCAGAUGCAGCAACAGCAGCAGAUGCAACAGAUGCAGAUGCAGGGUCUCCAGAAUGCUCCAGGGCAGCAGGGGAUGACAGGGCCGCAAACACCAGGUCAAGGCCAGCCUCAGAUGCACCCGCAUCAGCUGCAGCAGCAGCAAACUCAACAGCCACACCUGCAACAGCAGCAACAACAGCAGAUGAUGAUGAUGCUGAAGAUACAGCAGGAGCAGGCAAAGAAUCGCAUGUCCAUUCCUCCAGGAGGGCAGCUUCCUCCUCGGGGCAUGGGCAAUCCGCCCGAGGUGCAGAGGCUUCCAGUGUCACAACAAGGCAACAUGCCUGUAAUGAUCAGCCUUCAGGGGCAUGGAGGGGUACCGCCGUCACCUGACAAAGCCAGAGGGAUGCCCCUGAUGGUGAACCCACAGCUUGCAGGUGCUGCACGAAGAAUGUCCCAUCCUGAUGUAGGGCAGGGCCCUCAAGGCACUGGAUCUGAGGAGGCCUCUGCCGGGGCCCACUUGAAGCAGGACAGACCUGGUGGCCCAGAAACUGGGGUGCAGCCUGGUAAUGGGACCCAACAGAUGAUGGCUAACCAGGGCACCAACACUCAUAUGAUGAAGCAAGGUCCUGGUCCAUCACCAAUGCCCCAACACACCGGAGCCAGUCCCCAGCAACAGUUACCUAGUCAGCCUCAGCAAGGAGGCCCCAUGCCUGGCCUUCAUUUCCCCAGUGUCCCCACAACCUCACAGAGCUCCAGGCCCAAAACCCCCAACAGAGCCAGCCCCAGGCCGUACCACCAUCCCCUCACCCCAACUAAUCGUCCACCCAGUACUGAGCCCUCUGAAAUCAACCUCUCACCCGAGAGGCUAAAUGCCUCCAUUGCAGGGCUCUUUCCUCCUAAAAUCAACAUUCCUUUACCUCCCAGGCAGCCUAACCUAAACAGGGGAUUUGAUCAGCAAGGUCUUAACCCAACAACUUUGAAGGCCAUUGGGCAGGCCCCUCCUAGCUUAACUUUACCAGGCAGCAACAACAAUGGCAGUGUGGGUGGAAGUAACACUAACAACAGUCAACAGCCUUUCCCUACAGGAGCAGGAGGAGCAGGCGCUAAACAAGACAAGCAGCCUGGAGGGCAGGGUAAGAGGGCAAGUCCUAGCAAUAGUCGGAGGUCAAGUCCAGCCUCUAGCCGCAAGUCAGCCACCCCAAGUCCAGGGAGACAAAAGGGGACAAAGAUGGCCAUCAGCUGCCCUCCCCCCCAGCAGCAGUUGGUCAACCCUCAAGGGCAAACCAUGAUGCUAAGCCCCACAUCAGUACCGCCAAGUCCAGUAUCUAUGCCUUCACAAGUAAGUGUGGGCAUGGAAACACAGCAGACCCAGUGCCCCUUCCACGGGAUGCAAGGUAACCCUGCUGAGGGAGUCAGGGAAAGUCAGGGAAUAAUGACAGCAGAGCAGCGACAGAUGCCUCAGUCUCAGCCCCAACCACAGCCAUUGAGGGAGUUAUCAGCUCCCAGAAUGGCAAGUCCUCGUUUCCCUGUGCCUCAGCAGCCCAAACCUGAAUUGGAAUUGCAGGCUGGCACAGUUGAUAGGCACCCAGCACACACAACAGCUAUGCAGGACUCCGAGGCCUCGCCUUCUCUCAGGGCAGCUCCAACCUCCCUCAACCAGUUACUGGAUAACUCGGGUAUCCCUAACAUGCCUCAUCGGCCAAUACAGAGUAAUACUGGUAGGGAUGUCAUGGGAAAGGACAGCCCCAAGUCUGCUUUGGAGCAAGAGAGAGCACUCCACAGUAAUCCCCAGAGUACAGACAUGUCUGCUGCUGUUGCUACCACUGCCACUAUAAAUGAAUCGGAAGCUAAACCCAAACCUGCUGUCCCAGUCCCUACCAGCAGUCCUAAUUUGCAGCCUGUGUCAAUUUCCAGCUCGCACCCUAGCACUAACUUGACCUCUAAUAUUAUCCCCAACCUUAGCCAGAAUCCUGUCGCCAGUCCUGACAAAUCCCGUGUCAGUCCCAGUCCGAAUGUAAACCCAACACCUUCCCUCUGCCCCACUCUCAGUACUAACACUAAUGCCACCACAAGUGUAAGCCCCAACCAAGUCACUUCCAGUCAAAGCAGUCCUGUUUCAGUUGUUAGUACCAGUUCUAACUCCAGCUCUGCUCUAAACCCUGCCACCUCUUCCCUAAAACCAAGCCCCAGUCCUAAACCUGUGACAAGUGUUCACUCAGUUAUACAGAUCCCUGCCUCCUCUAGCACAAUUUCCCCCAACCAGAUCACUGUAUUUGUCACCUCUAACCCCAUCACCUCUGCCACUACUCCUCAGGCACCCACAUCUAUGGUAUCCACCAUGGUGGCUGUCCCUAACAAGAACAUUAGACCUCAGGACAUCCGGCAGCAGGCCCCAGUCCCCCGACCUCCUCAGUUUCUCACCACCCCUGUAUUUAUCAACCCAAUUUUCCAGGUCCCAGGUGCAUCUGUGACUCCCAAUACCACUAUGGUAUCACAGUCAGUCACCAUGGUUGGGCCUAUACAAGUGUCCACUACAAAUAUCCAACUUUCUCCUGCUCCAAGCUCCACCCAGUCCUCAGGGACUAACAUGACCAGUGCUCAGCCUGUCAGAAGUGCUGUUGGACAGAUCCAGCUUGCCACUAGCGUGUCCUCAUCAGUCCCAGUUGGAACUCCCCCAGCUCCUCAGCAAAUUAACCCAGGGGCUCCCAAAACAGAAAAUCUAGGUGAGACCAGUUCUGCUCAGAAACCUAGUCUCCCAGUCCAGCAGCCAUCUCCCCAUCCAAGCCCUGCAACAUCAUCUCCCUUUCAGCCACCCCUAGCUUCACCUCCUCUCUGCUCUAGCCCUGGAGCCGCUAACACCAUUCGAAAGAGUCCCAUGUCUCCAUCUCCCACUGCCCAAGUGAAAAGUAAAUCCGCACAGCCUGCUGCAGUUGUUUCUGGUCCAACUGAUUCCCAGCAGAGUCCUGUAGAAAGGCCUACGCAGGGGCCCACUGGGGCUGUGCCUCAACAGGUCUUUCAUCCUCCUGCUAAUCCUGCCAUUCAGAUUGACGCACUAGCUCCCCAUACUACUACUGCUACUGCUGCUUCAAACAACAUCACUUCACCUGCUGCCUCCUCUCCAAUCCCAGUCCCUGGCCAAGUGGCUGUUCCUACUCAGAUUGUUAUUCAGGCUCCAGUGCCUGCACCAGUUGCAGUCUCUAGCCAGGCCCAGGCUGUAACCUCUCAAACUCCUGUUGUCACUGUAGUUGGUGCUACCACUGGUGUCUCCUCUGCUACUUUGCCCUCUACGGUUGCUCUUGUACAAAGUCCUGUACCGUCCAUUGUUUCAAUUGUUGCUGGAUCUGGAUCUGCUCUGGAGGUUACCCCAACCACAUCCUCUCCUGUUGCUAACCCCAACGGAGUUCCACAAGUUCAGUCGGACCCCCCAGCUACGGAGAACCCCAUGCCACCAACUGCUGCAUCUGCUGAAACCACUCAGACCACCCCAGCACCUAUUCAACAAGAAGUCCCACAGUCCCAGGAACCUGCUGCCAGUGAGAAGACAGGUGAAGAGGUCUCGACAGGUUCCGAGCAAGGGGAAUUCAUUUGGUUGGCCAAGGAGGUACAUGGCGAAAACAAUGAGCCACGUGGCCUCAGCACUUGGUAUGUAUGAUUGGCAUGCAACAAUAUAAAUAUACUAAUGCAUGUCAGAAGUUUAAACAAAGAAGAGCCUAUCACCAAGCAAAUUUGCACCACUCCACUGACCCUUAUAGCCGCAUUUUUUUCUCUCCUGGGGUUUGUAAUUAUAUGAUGGGGAAGUGAAGCCAUGUUUGUUCAGCACAGUUUAUAGUUUACCGCUGUUUUUCCACUUCUAUCACAGAUGGGCAAAGAAAAGAAAGACGCCCAUCAACUUAGUCCCAAGGUAUGUAUUUUAAUGUUUGCACUGCAAAGACACAAGCAGUGAUCAUGUCGACGUAGUGGAUGCUGUCGGGAUGAAGACGGACAGUAUCUGUGGUAGACGAGGAAAAACAGCAAGAGUCCAGCGUGGUAUUAUAUCCUUCUCUGAGUAGAGCAGAGUUAACUCAUGCCCUUGCGUCUUUAGUAACACAUCUUUUGUGUCGUCCUUCCCUCCUUGCUGUUUGUUGUUUUUCUAUCUGGUCCUCUCAGGGCGGCUGUGGAGAAGCCCAAGGGACCGAGCAGACGCAGCUCCCGGGCAGAGAAGGAGGUGGAGGAGGAGCCAGUAGCAGACAGCGGCAUUAGGAAGAGAUCAGCAAGGCCUGGAACCAGUGCUGCUGUGAAAGAAACUGGAGCCAGCCC